rnacentral:rRNA from 1 species
CGAGUUUUGGUCGAUGAACGGUGCUUGCAUCGUGAUUCAACUUAAAACGAGUGGCGGACGGGUGAGUAACACGUGGGUAACCUGCCCUUAAGUGGGGGAUAACAUUUGGAAACAGAUGCUAAUACCGCAUAAAUCCAAGAACCGCAUGGUUCUUGGCUGAAAGAUGGCGUAAGCUAUCGCUUUUGGAUGGACCCGCGGCGUAUUAGCUAGUUGGUGAGGUAACGGCUCACCAAGGCGAUGAUACGUAGCCGAACUGAGAGGUUGAUCGGCCACAUUGGGACUGAGACACGGCCCAAACUCCUACGGGAGGCAGCAGUAGGGAAUCUUCCACAAUGGACGCAAGUCUGAUGGAGCAACGCCGCGUGAGUGAAGAAGGCUUUCGGGUCGUAAAACUCUGUUGUUGGAGAAGAAUGGUCGGCAGAGUAACUGUUGUCGGCGUGACGGUAUCCAACCAGAAAGCCACGGCUAACUACGUGCCAGCAGCCGCGGUAAUACGUAGGUGGCAAGCGUUAUCCGGAUUUAUUGGGCGUAAAGCGAGCGCAGGCGGUUUUUUAAGUCUGAUGUGAAAGCCCUCGGCUUAACCGAGGAAGCGCAUCGGAAACUGGGAAACUUGAGUGCAGAAGAGGACAGUGGAACUCCAUGUGUAGCGGUGAAAUGCGUAGAUAUAUGGAAGAACACCAGUGGCGAAGGCGGCUGUCUGGUCUGUAACUGACGCUGAGGCUCGAAAGCAUGGGUAGCGAACAGGAUUAGAUACCCUGGUAGUCCAUGCCGUA